AGAAUAAUUUUAGUCUAAUCAAAGAUGCAAAUAUUCAAAUCUUUGACCCAAACAAGUAACCAACGCCCAGAGUUCGGAUGCGACCUAGAGUUCGGAUUCAGGCCUAGCGGGGCGAAGCUCCCACAGCUCUCUAGUGAGCUUCAUUAAGAGCUCCAUGAGGGCGACGACGUCUUUGCCGCAGGGCCCCACCGCCCUCCCACGUCUGCUCCUUCGGGCCACAGGCCGCAGCGAGGCCUCGGGUCUCUGCAGUCAACGGUCGCAGGCGGAGAAGCGCACAGGGAACCCGGGGGGCCUGGGCCUGGGCCUGACGGAGGCGUCCCCCGGAGCUUAGAGACCCGGGCGCGGGGCUGCCCGGGCCGCCACGUCAGCACCACCUGCCCCUGGAGGCGCAAGUGACGCGGGCCGCGGAGGGAAGCUAUCAGGUUGCAUGUGGAAAAGUCAUUGAUGCAGAAACAAGAUCCACUGACCUCAUCUCCCAAAGCCAGGAGGGAGGGAAAUUCAGCAUGUGGCACAGGAAGGAACAAGACAUCCUGAUUGAGAAGUGGUACACAGUGCCACAUCAGUUCCUUGGGACGCCAAGUGCUUCGGAUGUUAACAGUCUGCUUGGAGAGAUGCCAUCACAGUGUGCCUUCUGUGUCUUGAUCUCCUGGCUUGUAACCCUGUGUUUUAGCCUCCUGGUUCGUACCUAGCAUACCUCUGGGCAGAAUUUUUGCUUAAGUGCCCCAAAGGACUUUUUUUCUUUUGUAAAUAAAGAAUUAAGCUUAUGAUCAGUGCUUUCUGGGGGAUGGAGAAGUGAGAAGGGGUUCCAUGUCCUGGGAGCAACGUGAAAACUUCUUUCUGCUCUGCUCAGGCUUGAGGGCCUGUUUGCUCCACCGGCAGGUCCGUGAGAAAUAGCGACACCCGCUCUUGGUGUGAGCAGUCUGUUUUCUGCUUACAUACACAGACUUGAUUUAUAAUCGCAGUCCGGACAGCAUCUGAGUCUAAUUACCUGGGUAUAUGAAAGUUCAGGAGAUCUCGACUAAGUUAGCAAUUCAGGGAUGCGCUUUACCAGAAGCAGAUGGAAAAAAUAAAACACUUUAGUUUAUGACUAUUUUUCUAUUGGGGGAAGGAGAAAGAACAAAAAGAGUUGCCAAAUUGAUCCUUGUCAAGCACUAAUUAAAUAUUAUUCAUGAUUAAUUCUGAUGUUGAUGUAUUCAGUGUUUUAGCAGUGUCAUAAAUAUCUCAAAAGAAUGAAAUAACUCACUUUGUGUAGCUAUAAUAAAUCAUGCAUACCGUGGUCCCCACGUGGCCUCCUGAGCCAGUCCCUUAUUAUUAUUAUUUUUUUAAUACAUACACUUGUUAGUGACUUUUCUGGAAUAUUAUUAGGGAUGUGAGGAAAGAAUUUUCUAAUCAUGCUUUGCUAUUUCUGUUUCUUUCAAUUAAACCAAAUGCUUUAAAAAUUACAAAAAAAAACUCUGAGAGUUUCUGUCAUAUAGAUAAAUACUGAUGUAUUUACAGAUGAAGUUAUAUGAUAUCUUGGAAUCAUAGCCUAUAAAAAAAUUUAGGUUGGUUGGAAGCGAGAUCAGUGGGUGGGGAUAUAGAUGAAAUAAGACUAGCCAU